CAUUCCCAAUCCCAGGAACCUGGAGGAGGCAAGGAAGGAGUCCCGGGGUUAACUGUCGGCGGACAUAAAACAAUGGUCCGCUUAACAACAGCAGCGCAGAGAAGGGGGCGGGCUGGCCACGAAGUCCUUUAAAGCGACCAGAUGCCCGGUGCAAAGGGUUAACAAGGAAGCGGAACAGUGUUUCCUGGGGGCCCCUGAGCCACUGCGUAGAUGCGCUCUCACAGGGAUGAAGGUGAAGGAGCUGUACUGCCAACCAAGCCAGCAGUCCAGUCGGAGAUUCCCAGAACUUGUUACCUCUGUGUGAGCGGUCUUCUCCACUGAGGAUGUUGUCAAGCUGUGUUGAACAAGGCGUAAGGAUACUUCUCUGCUGGCUAGAGGUGAUACCCAGGACCCUAAACACCCUAAGCAACUCCACCACUGAGCCACAUCCUAAGCCCAAGGAG